rnacentral:sRNA from 1 species
AAAGAAUGGAGGAGUCGGAACCCGAACGGAAGCGGGCUCGCACCGACGAGGUGCCUGCCGGAGGAAGCCGCUCCGAGACGGAGGAUGAGGACGACGAGGACUACGUGCCCUAUGUGCCGUUACGGCAGCGCCGGCAGCUACUGCUCCAGAAGCUGCUGCAGCGAAGACGCAAGGGAGCUGCGGAGGAAGAGCAGCAGGACAGCGGUAGUGAACCCCGGGGAGACGAGGACGACAUCCCGCUAGGCCCUCAGUCCAACGUCAGCCUCCUGGAUCAGCACCAGCACCUUAAAGAGAAGGCUGAAGCCCGCAAAGAGUCUGCCAAGGAGAAGCAGCUGAAGGAAGAAGAGAAGAUCCUGGAGAGUGUGGCCGAGGGCCGAGGUAUGGUUGUAGCCAGGAUAGUGAGAAGGUGGACUGAGUCUCCUCCUCCCAGGCCCAGGCAUGUUAUAUCUCAAGGGAUCUGGCUUCUCAGAAGCAGGAGCCAGCCCUGAACCAUGUCUUUCUUCUCAGCAUUGAUGUCAGUGAAGGAGAUGGCUAAGGGCAUUACGUAUGAUGACCCCAUCAAAACCAGGUAUGUCUGUACAGUCUGCAGUUGCCCUUGCUUAGCAUGGUACAUGCAGGGAUGCUCCCAGGCCAGCUAUUCCCAGGGCUCUCUUGAUCCCUGUUACCCAUCCACAGCUGGACUCCGCCCCGUUAUGUCCUGAACAUGUCUGAAGAGCGACAUGAGCGCGUGCGGAAGAAAUACCACAUCCUGGUGGAGGGAGACGGUAUCCCACCACCCAUCAAGAGCUUCAAGGAAAUGAAAUUUCCUGCAGGUAGUCAGAGGCUGGAGAGAGAUACCACACUUUUAUAAUCAAAUGCCUGUGAGGUUAUGUCCUAGCUCCCACUGAGCUCAGCCACAUCUGCAUUGGAUCCAGUCACUGGGGCUGGAGGGAUUUGAGGAGAAGUUUCUUUAGGUUCCUUGUUGCCCCAGCUGUACGUGUUCAUUGUACUCUGCUGUUACAAAGCUUCAGGAGGAAAGUGCCAUUGGGCAUAGACACUGGGUACAAAUCUUGGCUGCACCUAGCCUGUGGGCCUUGGACAAGUCUCUUUUUUUCUUUUUUUUCUCCACUCUGUCUCUCUGAGCCUUAGUUUCAUCAUCUGCAAUUUGUAGGGGUAGUGCCAGUUUUACAGGCUUUGGGGCUCUGAGAAAGUACCUGUGAGUCACGAAGACGAUGUUGGUUGGUUUUCAUAGCCAUCCUGAGAGGCCUGAAGAAGAAAGGCAUUCACCACCCAACACCCAUUCAGAUCCAGGGCAUCCCCACCAUUCUAUCUGGCCGUGACAUGAUAGGCAUCGCCUUCACGGGUUCAGGCAAGACACUGGUGUUCACGUUGCCUGUCAUCAUGUUCUGCCUGGAACAAGAGAAGAGGUUACCUUUCUCAAAGCGCGAAGGGCCCUAUGGACUCAUCAUCUGCCCCUCGGUAAGAUAGGCUGGCCUGGAGGGCAGGCCAGAGACUGGGGCUGCCAUCUGGUGCCAGCCUUUGUCCCUCUGCCUGCAGCGGGAGCUGGCCCGGCAGACCCAUGGCAUCCUGGAGUACUACUGCCGCCUGCUGCAGGAGGACAGCUCACCACUCCUGCGCUGCGCCCUCUGCAUUGGGGGCAUGUCCGUGAAAGAGCAGAUGGAGACCAUCCGACACGGUGUACACAUGAUGGUGGCCACCCCAGGGCGCCUCAUGGAUUUGCUGCAGAAGAAGAUGGUCAGCCUAGACAUCUGUCGCUACCUGGCCCUGGACGAGGCUGACCGCAUGAUCGACAUGGGCUUCGAGGGUGACAUCCGUACCAUCUUCUCCUACUUCAAGGUGCCGCCCCCGCCCGGCCAGGGAACCCUGCACCACCCCUCACUGCACACCACAUCAGACUGCAGGGACCCCAUGCCCCUGGCCACCCCACCCACUGCUCAUACUCUGUGGGCUGUGUCUCAGUUGCUCAGCUUCCCCAGACCCCAUGCUCCUCAGCCCAGUCCCGUGUGCCAUUGGUCGCAGCCCCCCUCUUCCUCAGGGCCAGCGACAGACCCUGCUCUUCAGUGCCACCAUGCCGAAGAAGAUUCAGAACUUUGCUAAGAGUGCCCUUGUAAAGCCUGUCACCAUCAAUGUGGGGCGCGCUGGGGCUGCCAGCCUGGAUGUCAUCCAGGAGGUAGAAUAUGUGAAGGAGGAGGCCAAGAUGGUGUACCUGCUCGAGUGCCUGCAGAAGACACCCCCGCCUGUACUCAUCUUUGCAGAGAAGAAGGCAGACGUGGACGCCAUCCAUGAGUACCUGCUGCUCAAGGGGGUUGAGGCUGUAGCCAUCCAUGGGGGCAAAGACCAGGAGGAACGGACUAAGGCCAUCGAGGCAUUCCGGGAGGGCAAGAAGGAUGUCCUAGUGGCCACAGACGUUGCCUCCAAGGGCCUGGACUUCCCUGCCAUCCAGCACGUCAUCAAUUAUGACAUGCCAGAGGAGAUUGAGAACUAUGUACACCGGAUUGGCCGCACCGGGCGCUCGGGAAACACAGGCAUCGCCACUACCUUCAUCAACAAAGCCUGUGAUGAGUCAGUGCUGAUGGACCUCAAAGCGCUGCUGCUGGAAGCCAAGCAGAAGGUGCCGCCCGUGCUGCAGGUGCUGCAUUGCGGGGACGAGUCCAUGCUGGACAUUGGAGGAGAGCGCGGCUGUGCCUUCUGCGGGGGCCUGGGCCAUCGGAUCACUGACUGCCCCAAACUCGAGGCUAUGCAGACCAAGCAGGUCAGCAACAUCGGCCGCAAGGACUACCUGGCCCACAGCUCCAUGGACUUCUGAGCCGACAGUCUUCCCUCCUCUCCAAGAGGCCUCAGUCCCCAAGACUGCCACCACUCUACACACACAGCAGCCCCCUGGACAGAAUCAGCAUUUCAGCUCAGCUGGCCUGGACUGGGCCAGGCUGGUCCUGGCUGCCUGUUCCCUGUGCUCCUCAGAAUUACUAUUUUUGUUUCCUUUCACCCCAGCUGCCAUUAAAGCACAAACCUCUAUCCC